rnacentral:rRNA from 1 species
UACGGAGGGGGCUAGCGUUGUUCGGAAUUACUGGGCGUAAAGCGCGCGUAGGCGGACCUGCAAGUCGGGGGUGAAAGCCCGAGGCUCAACCUCGGAACUGCCUUCGAUACUGCGGGUCUCGAGUCCGGGAGAGGUGAGUGGAAUUCCUAGUGUAGAGGUGAAAUUCGUAGAUAUCAGGAGGAACACCGGCGGCGAAGGCGCUUCCUGGCCGAGUACUGACGCUGAGGCACGGAAAGCGUGGGGAGCCGAACGGG